rnacentral:rRNA from 1 species
UACGGGGGGGGCAAGCGUUGUUCGGAAUUACUGGGCGUAAAGGGUUUGUAGGUGGCCCGCUAAGUCAGCACGUGAAAUCCCUCAGCUUAACUGGGGAACUGCGUGUGAGACUGGCAGGCUCGAGGGCAGGAGAGGAACGCGGAAUUCCAGGUGUAGCGGUGAAAUGCGUAGAUAUCGGAAGGAACACCUGUGGCGAAAGCGGCUCACUGGACCAUUACUGACGCUGAGGCACGAAAGCUAGGGGAGCAAACAGG